rnacentral:rRNA from 1 species
UGGACCCGCAAUGUGUCGACUCGGGGGAUUCAACCGGGCCGUUACGCACGGGACGCGCUGGGGUUAUGCGGAGCCGUAAAGCCCGUGCCUUGGCGUGGGUCUCCGGGCGGCCUGGUGCACUUUCCUCGGGUCGAUUGCCACGGCCGGCUCUCCGUGCGGCCAGAAGCCUAUCGCUGGUAAGGUGACCGCGGUCCCCGCGGUGUUAUAGACCAGCAAGUCCGUUGAGCUCGUCGGAGGGCCGAGGAAGGUUGCCGCGUCCCUUCACCCUCUGGUCAUCCUUGCUCGUCACGACUGGGGUGGACUGUCCCGUCAGUGCUCUCCCGACCGCGAGCGUAGGAAGGGCUGGUACGGUGUGGGACUUUGCUUCGGGCCAGUGGCGAAUCGGUCGGUACCCCACCC